rnacentral:rRNA from 1 species
GUGCACCAGUCGCGAAUCCUCCGCAAUGCGCGAAAGCGCGACGGGGUUACCCCGAGUGCCGUCCGCUGAGGACGGCUUUUGCCCAGUGUAGCCAGCUGGGCGAAUAAGGAGAGGGCAAGUCUGGUGUCAGCCGCCGCGGUAAUACCAGCUCUCCGAGUGGUGGGGACGCUUAUUGGGCCUAAAGCAUCCGUAGCCGGUCUGGCAAGUCCCUUGUUAAAUCCAACGAUUCAAUCGUUGGACUGCAAGGGGAUACUGCCAGACUAGGGGGCGGGAGAGGCCGACGGUAUUCCCGGGGUAGGGGUGAAAUCCUAUAAUCCCGGGAGGACCACCAGUGGCGAAGGCUGUCGGCUAGAACGCGCCCGACGGUGAGGGAUGAAAGCUGGGGGAGCGAACCGGAUUAGAUACCCCCGUAGU